ACACCAGAAGGCUGGCACCAGACGAGGGAGGAAGAGAAUUGCAACCUGUCCUUCUGGGAGGCAAGGCUGACCGCUCAUGUUUUUUCUUCCCUCCCUGGUUUUGCCCUUUCAGGACUCACCCUUCCCCAGGAGAGGAGGCUGGAUGACUCAUUGGCCCUUGCUGUUCUGAAAGCCGUGGCCCAGGUAUCUUUUGAUGGCUGUAUCUCCCUUUACGAAGGAAGUUGUGCUGCUCUCCAUAGAAAUAUCAAGAACAUACGGACCCUUCUCUUGAAUUGCCAAAAUCGUCUUACGUGCUCAUCUGCCUCAGCUUAUUCUCUGGGUAUGUCUCCCCACUCCCUGCGGUGUCCUUUUCCAUCCUCCUAUUUUCCUGGUCAUAAAUACUCACUUGGAUGGUACACAUCCUCAGUUUGUUGUUUUAGGGCUCAGUGAUGUUUAGGGAUGUGGCAGUAGUCUUCUCAGGACGAGUGGGGCCAGCCAGAUCCUGCUAGGAAGGAUUUGUACAGGGACGUGACACUGGAGAACUUCAGCAACUUCAUCUCUAGGUAAGAUGUUAGCACCCCUGGGAGGCUGGGAUUUGCCCACGGGAAUACCUGCUGCCUUGGGUGUGAAUUCUGAGGUGCCUUCAAGACUAUGGUUGAGUUUCUGCUCUGUUCUCAAUGCAAUUGUACUGAAUGGGGACAGGUAGUUCUGUAGGAUAACACCCAAAGAAGCUUCUUCCUCAUUCCAAAAGUGACUUCCUCCUCUUCUCUGGAAUUUUCUGGUUUCUUUUCCUCAUUGAUGACCAGGAGCUGGGUGUGACUUCUGGGAUGCCCCCUUUGUGACUCUGUUGCAUUUCUUCUUGCGUACACAGGUUCUUCUAUUUCCAGGCCAGAUGUGAUCUCCUUAUCGGAACAAGGGAAAGAACCCUUGGGGGCACAAAGAGAUGUGACAGGAAGCCUGUGCCCAGCUGAGUGAAGGAUCAUUAAGAAGGGCAGUGGCGCUGUAGGUAAUGGCUCAGACGGUUAGCAGGACGCGGCACCUUUGAGACAAUGCCUGGAAAGUUCCCCUCAAAGUCCCUAGUGUUCAGAGCAGAGCAUUACUCCCAUCAGGGUGAGCGCCUGGAGGGGCUUCUCGUACUCACACACACCACCCCCUGCACCCUCCCCAUGCUUCUCCCCGCUCAAAGAGGAAGGCGAGUUCUUUGAAGUACAACUUUUUACCUACCCAGGGAACACUGUUUCUUUCCAGUUUCUCCCCCACCCCCUUUUUAUACUUAUUUUGAGAGAGACGAAGCAUGAGUGGGGGAGGGGCAGAAAGAGUGAGAAUCCCAAGCAGGCUCCACACUCUCAGCACAGAGCCUGACGCGGGGCUCGAACUCACGAACCAUGAGAUCAUGACCUGAGCCAAAGUCAGACACUUAACUGACCUAGCCACCCAGGCGCCCCUCCCC
rnacentral:lncRNA from 1 species